CAGUCGCCACGGGAAUACGAAGGGGGCUAGCGUUGUUCGGAUUUACUGGGCGUAAAGCGCACGUAGGCGGACUUUUAAGUCAGGGGUGAAAUCCCGGGGCUCAACCCCGGAACUGCCUUUGAUACUGGAAGUCUUGAGUAUGGUAGAGGUGAGUGGAAUUCCGAGUGUAGAGGUGAAAUUCGUAGAUAUUCGGAGGAACACCAGUGGCGAAGGCGGCUCACUGGACCAUUACUGACGCUGAGGUGCGAAAGCGUGGGGAGCAAACAGGAUUAGAUACCCGCGUAGUCCCUGUCUCUUAUAC
rnacentral:rRNA from 1 species